AACAGGAAAAAAUGAAUACGUCAACUUGCACUUCUGUUCUUAAAGAUUCCUCUGGAACAAUGAAUCUGGGCCAGCUUCCCCAGACCCUUUAGGCCUUAGCUCUCUUUGGUGCAUUAAGGAAUAUUUCCUGAGUCCACUCUUCCCACAGUUUGGGAAUAUGGAGCAGCAGACAAAGCAGAUAGGAUACCUAUUCUCAGAAACUUAAACGUAGCUGGAGAGGUAGAACAGUGCAUAUAGCCAUCGAGGUUGACUGUAGCCGUGGGGCAGGCUGGCUUGAUUUGGCCCAGGACUGAAUGGGAGGAGAAACAUGCUGGAUCCAGUGCAGAGCAGUAUAUUACUUUAUUCCUGUAGUCAAUGGAGUAGAUACUGUUUUAUUUAAUUCUCUGUGAAUCACAGGGGUGGCAUUCAUUUGUUCAAACAUUCAUUCAUCCAAUAAGCAAUUUUUUUUUUUUUUUUUUGGCCGCUCCCAUGGCACAUGGAAGUUCCUGGGCUAGGGACUGGACUUGUGCCAUAGCAAUGACUCGAGCUGCCGCAGCGGCCAUACCAGACCCUUAACCUGCUGCACCGCAAGAGAACUCCCGAUUAAGUAAGCAACUUCUAGCUGCCAGACCCUGUUAGGGGUAAUGGACAAGACAGUCACAGUACUACCCAUAAGAAUUUGAGGGUCUCAAGGGAGAAAAGACAUUGAAUAAUUACAGAGUUAAAGGUUAAGAGAUGAAGGAUCAAUUCCACCCCUCCCCAGAAGUUAACUCAGUGGCUGCUGCACAGAGAUUUUGGAAAGUCAGACCCAAAAGAUGCUUUGGGCCAGCCCCAAGGAGAAGAGUGUGGCUUCCUCCUCGUCUGGUCCCCAGUGCUCACAGCAUUGAUGCUGGCAGCUGCGAGAGGGGAGAGGCCAAGGCCCCGAGGUGGAGAAACUCGGGCUCUCCCCGAGUAGCUGCCCCG
rnacentral:lncRNA from 1 species